rnacentral:rRNA from 1 species
UAUUCAGCGGCCAGAGGUGAAAUUGCAGGAUUCGCUGAAGACUAAUUUAUGCGAAAGCAUUCACCAAGGAUGUCUUCUUUAAUCAAGAACGAAAGUUGGGGGAUCGAAGACGAUCAGAUACCGUCGUAGUCUCAACCAUAAACUAUGCCGACUAGGGAAGAGUGGACGUCCCUUAUUCGACUUCAUUGGCACUUUAUGAGAAAUCAAAGUCUUUGGGUUCCGGGGGGAGUAUGGUCGCAAGGCUGAAACUUAAAGGAAUUGACGCAAGGGCACACCAGGAGUGGAGCCUGCGGCAUAAUUUGACUCAACACGGGGAAACUCACCAGGUCCAGACACAAUAAGGAUUGACAGAUUGAGAGCUCUUUCUUGAUUUUGUGGGUGGUGGUGCAUGGCCGUUCUUAGUUGGUGGAGUGAUUUGUGCUCCCUAUCGGGAUAACGAACGAGACUUUAACUCGCCAAAUAGCCAGGCUAGCUUUGGCUGGUCGCCGGCUUCUUAGAGGGACUAUCGGCUCAAGCCGAUGGAAUUUUGAGGCAAUAACAGGUCUGUGAUGCCCUGAGAUGUUGUGGGCCGCCCGCGCGCCACGAAGACAGAGCCAAUGAGUUCUUUCAUAGACCCAAAGGUUCGGGUAAUCGGGUUAAACUCAGUCGUGAGGGGGAUAGAGCAUUGCAAUAUCCAUGUUCAACGAGGAAUUCCAAGUAAGCGCAAGUCAUCAGCAUGCGCUGAUCACGUGCCCCGCCACUAGAACACACCGC